AUUGAACGCUGGCGGCAUGCUUUACACAUGCAAGUCGAACGGUAACAGGUUAAGCUGACGAGUGGCGAACGGGUGAGUAAUGCAUCGGAACGUGCCCAGUCGUGGGGGAUAACGCAGCGAAAGCUGUGCUAAUACCGCAUACGAUCUAUGGAUGAAAGCGGGGGACCGUAAGGCCUCGCGCGAUUGGAGCGGCCGAUGUCAGAUUAGCUAGUUGGUGGGGUAAAGGCCCACCAAGGCGACGAUCUGUAGCUGGUCUGAGAGGACGACCAGCCACACUGGAACUGAGACACGGUCCAGACUCCUACGGGAGGCAGCAGUGGGGAAUUUUGGACAAUGGGCGCAAGCCUGAUCCAGCAAUGCCGCGUGCAGGAAGAAAGGGCCUUCGGGUUGUAAACUGCUUUGUACGGAACGAAAGGACUCUGGCUAAUACCGAGGCUCAUGACGGUACCGUAAGAAUAAGCACCGGCUAACUACGUGCC
rnacentral:rRNA from 1 species